rnacentral:rRNA from 1 species
UACGGAGGAGGCAAGCGUUAUCCGGAAUUAUUGGGCGUAAAGCGUCCGUAGGUGGUUUAGUAAGUCUGCUGUUAAAGCGCGGGGCUUAACUCCGUAUCGGCAGUGGAAACUACAUAGCUAGAGUAAGGUAGGGGUAGAGGGAAUUCCUGGUGUAGCGGUGAAAUGCGUAGAGAUCAGGAAGAACACCGGUGGCGAAAGCGCUCUGCUGGACCUUAACUGACACUGAGGGACGAAAGCUAGGGGAGCGAAUGGG